GAACAUGGUUUGAGCAAUUGAAUCCUCUGUUCAAGAGCGUACCUUGAGCAUACAUGCUGUGACCCGAAAGAUGGUGAACUAUACCUGAUCAGAUCGAAGCCAGGAGAAAUUCUGGUGGAGGAUCGAAACAGUUCUGACGUGCAAAUCGAUUGUCAGAAUUGGGUAUAGGGGCGAAAGACCAAUCGAACCAUCUAGUAGCUGGUUCCCUCCGAAG
rnacentral:rRNA from 1 species